UGUCGACCCUCCAAAGGUCGGCGUACCGAAGAGGCUUGUCUUUCUUGCCGGGCGUGCGGAAAGGGAAAAAUCCCCUUCCAAGCGAUGGCUAUUCGACACGGGAUUCGAUGUCCGUCUGGACAUGCGAGUCCGCGUUUCGUCUAGCCGACGGCGCAUCACCCGACUGUCCUGCGC
rfam:Methylosinus sp. R-45379 contig_9, whole genome shotgun sequence.